rnacentral:rRNA from 1 species
GAGACUCUGUGCGCGUGCAUAUCAAUAAGCGGAGGAAAAGAAACUAACAAGGAUUCCCUUAGUAACGGCGAGUGAAGCGGGAAGAGCUCAAAUUUGAAAUCUUCAAGGUUCUACCUUGACGAAUUGUAGUUUAUAGAAGCGUUUUCUGUUAGUAGAGUGGCAAAAGUUCUUUGGAAUAGGACAUCAUAGAGGGUGAGAAUCCCGUAUUUGGUCAUUCUUUCUAGCUUUGUGAUACACUUUCAACGAGUCGGAUUGUUUGGGAAUGCAGUCCAAAAUGGGUGGUAAAUUUCAUCUAAAGCUAAAUAUUGGCGAGAGACCGAUAGCGAACAAGUACCGUGAGGGAAAGAUGAAAAGAACUUUGAAAAGAGAGUUAAACAGUACGUGAAAUUGUCAAAAGGGAAGCGUUUGACACCAGUGUUGUUUUUCCGAAAAUCAAUUACGAAUGUUUUGUUUUUGAGAAGUUAUGACUUCAUCGGCUUGCUUCUCUCUUUACGAAACUUUCCUAAUGCACUUUUCGGCUAACAAGUCAACAUCAAUUUCUUUUGUUGUAAAAGGGUAUGAGGAAGGUGGCUUUCUUUUCGGAGAAAGUGUUUAUAGCCUUGUACCUCUGCAAUCGGAGAGAUUGAGGUCUGCAGCGUAGAUCCUUCGGGGUUAGAUACAUUUGUGCUAAGUUAUAGCUUUUCAUAGACAACUUGUUGACUAUGUUAGUCUUGUAGCUUACUCGCUUAUGCUAUUUUACCUACGCUUAGGAUGUUGAACUCUAUCACACACAG